AAGUUAAUCUAAAUCGAAACUGAAAUUUUGAAAAACACAUGUGUCGCACUUCUCUUUCUCGAAGCUGAAAAAUCGGUGAAAUCGAAAAUUUUUUGAACGUUUUCUGAAGAUUAUUCAGACAUGAAAAAAUGAAUUCCAAGGAAAAUCAUCCAAAGAAAAAAGGAUAUGACAAAGGCAUUGUGAAGAGGUUUAAAAUGAUACUUGACCUCAUAUUUGACUACAACGGCUUAGUUAAUCAAGGGGCAACAUGUUAUUUGAACAGUGUUCUGCAGGUCCUCUUCAUGACUAAGGACUUCAGAGAGGCUGUAGAAAGAUCUGGUCAAGAUCAGAAGACUGUUGAUUUUCACCUGAAAAGCCUAUUUAAGACUUUAAAGACAAGUGAAACUCACACAAAGGACAUCUUAUCCAUACUGGGCAUUGGAAAUGUAUACGAGCAACGGGAUGCUGCUGAAUAUUUUGAGAAUAUUUUAAGCAUGGUCAAUCCUUAUGUGUCUAAGAUAUUCAAAGGACAUUUGAGACACACUAUGAGAUGUUCAGAAGGUCAUGUGACCAGUGAUGAAACUGGUCCAUUCUGGACUCUGCCACUCUCAAUGGAAAAUCCAUCAGACUCUAACAACACCUACAGUGUGUGGGAAGGUUUUGAGGAGUUUUUCAAGUCUUCAACCGUCAGGGGGAUGCAUUGUGACCAAUGCAAUGAGAAAACCGACGCAACCAUUGUAUGUAAGAUGGAACAUCCCCCAGAGAUUCUGACUCUGCUCCUCAAGAGGUUUAAGUUCGACUACAGCAGGAUGUCAUAUGCCAAAAAUGACUGCUGUGUGGAUGUUCCUCACAUGUUACGGACAAAGAACAGUGACUAUGAACUCUAUGCUGUUGUGGACCAUGUGGGAAGUCUUCGAGGUGGACAUUACACUGCUAAGAUCAAGUCCUAUCAGAAUCACAAAUGGUAUAUCUUUGAUGACACCUACGUCAGACAGCCCAAUCCACAAUCAAUCAGUCAUAUGAAUAAUGAAAGAUCCCAGAGUGUGUAUCUGCUUAUGUACAAGAAAUCACGUGCUCCGGAUCAACCAAAGAAGAGGGAGAAGAAAAAAGAGGAGGUAUUAAAAGUGUAUGGAAGAUAAAAGAAGAAUUGAGGAUAAUAAAAGAGGAAUGGAAGAAAAUGAAGAAAAUAAUCAAUGUGGAAUCACAGAGAAUAGCAUUGCAAUUGGAAAGAAUAUAGGUGGAAAUCAAGACAUGGGUAGACAACAAUGGAAGAGGCAUUGAUGACAAUCCUCAACAAUGAAUGGCAAUAAGAGAGACAAUUAACAUAAUAGAAGAGGAAGCAAAGAGAACAAACAGAAUUGAAGAGUGUAGAAGAGGAAUUGAAGAGUGUAGAAGAGGAAUUGAAGGGUGUAGGAGAUGGAUUGAAGAGUGUAGAAGAGGGAUUGUAAAGUAUAGAAGAGGAAUUGAACAUAUGACGGAGUCUGUUACGUCCCAUCGGGGACGCUAAGUCUCUUAAAGCUAACUGCCAGUUGAAGAUAGAUCUCUGGGAAAGUGACAUCAACAAUGGCAACUAACAGCUUCACUAGCCAGCUAUUCUGCUUAAGUCAUUCAGCAAUAAAACAGGUUGGUAUGGCUACCUAUAGCAGCUGCCCGGAUACACAGUUUUAUGCCUUCGCUGUAUUGUCGUCAGCCUUCAGGAUCGGACUCUAUCCAUUUAUCCCAGGUAGAGAUAACAAGAGUGGACGAUGUCGCUGUUUCUGGUCGUGGCCGUGGUUCUGCUGUUUCUGGUAAGAAGACCCUCUUAAAUCUACAC